rnacentral:rRNA from 1 species
GGGUUCGAGUUCUGGCGUCAGGAUGAACGCUGGCGGCGUGCCUAAUACAUAGCAAGUCGUACGAGGGAAGGUCCAGCUUGCUGGACAGAACGAGUGGCGAACGGGUGAGUAAUACGUAAGCAACCUGCCUGCAAGGACUGGGAUAACACCUGGAAACGGGCGCUAAUACCGGAUAGGUAACAAAGGGGCAUCCCUAUGUUAUUAAAGGUUAGAAACACAAGCAGAUGGGCUUACGGUGCAUUAGCUAGUUGGUGAGGUAACGGCCCACCAAGGCGAUGAUGCAUAGCCGGCCUGAGAGGGUGAACGGCCACAUUGGGACUGAGACACGGCCCAGACUCCUACGGGAGGCAGCAGUAGGGAAUUUUCGGCAAUGGACGAAAGUCUGACCGAGCAACGCCGCCGUGAGUGAAGAAGGUUUUCGGAUUGUAAAGCUCUGUUGUAAGGGAAGAACAGCACGGAAAGAAUCCGUGAAUGACGGUACCUUACCAGAAAGCCACGGCUAACUACGUGCCAGCCGCGGC